rnacentral:rRNA from 1 species
CCAAUAGCGUCUAUUAAAGUUGUUGCAGUUAAAAAGCUCGUAGUUGAAUUUCGGGAUCAAGGAAUCGGUCAUGCCUUGGUAUGUACUGGUUUUAUUGGUUCUCACCUUCUAAAGAACCAUAAUGUCAUUCAUUUGAUGUUAUGGGGAAUUAGGACUGUUACCUUGAAAAAAUUAGAGUGUUUAAAGCAGGCUCACGCUUGAAUACAUUAGCAUGGAAUAAUGAAAUAGGACGUUUGAUUCUAUUUUGUUGGUUUCUAGGAUCGACGUAAUGAUUAAUAGGGAUAGUUGGGGGCAUUAGUAUUCAAUUGUCAGAGGUGAAAUUCUUGGAUUUAUUGAAGACUAACUACUGCGAAAGCAUUUGCCAAGGAUGUUUUCAUUAAUCAAGAACGAAAGUUAGGGGAUCGAAGACGAUCAGAUACCGUCGUAGUCUUAACCAUAAACUAUGCCGACUAGGGAUCGGAUGAUGUUAAUUUUUUAAUGACUCAUUCGGCGCCUUACG